GCCGGGUAUGGUGGUGGCACAUGCCUGUAAUCCCAGUGGCUUGGGAGGCUGAGGCAGGAGGAUGAAAAAUUCAAAUCCAGCCUUGG
rnacentral:sRNA from 1 species